AGGAAGUCAGACUUUGCCAAGCAGUGUUUAGGUAUAAAGGUCAGAUUGGGAAAAACCUGCUAGAUCCAGCUGGUGACACUAGCAGAUGCCAGGUCUCUAGUGGAUUCAUCUGAGCUUUGGAGAGAACACCAGCUUCAUCUUCUCUCCUCACUUCAAGGCAAUGGGAAUUCCCAUAACACAUCCAGAGGCACAAAAAAGGCAUUGCCAUCUAAGGAGAACUGAACACUCAUGGAGAACUGAACACCCAUGCAGAAGCAAUAAAAAGAAGGCAGUGAUGGGA